CCCUCCUCUCCCCUACCACUGGUCUCGCUCUAGUGGCUGCGUUACCGGUGAUCACAGCCUGACAGACCGUCCUUGGGGAGCCAGGAGCACCGUUUACAGCUCUUUUGGUGUCAAUGCCUCCUGUCUGCUCUAAUUCCCACCUCCCCACUGUGCCUCCUACUCUUCCUCCACACUUGUCCCUACUCAGGACACUCAAAUCCAUUACACCGAGGAGCAGACAGGCACAAACAAACAAACAAGACAGCCGCCCCAUGUGCCUGCUGCGGAUCGAUUAUCCUGCUUAGUCACAAGUUUAAAACAAGCAUUAAAACACAUCUUUCCAGAGCUCAUCUGCCCGACAAGAAGAACAUCCACCAGUGACAUUAAGGGCAAACAAACAGGGCUGAAGAAGAUGAUGGCACUGAAGCGCCCAAAACUGCAGUCCCUCAAGUGGGCACUUGAGGCCUGAUUCAAAGCUUCAUCUUUGCAGACAUUGGGAGCUGUCAUUGCGCGACACCCUGUGACGUGGGUGACACUCAGCCGAUAUGACAGGUGCUGGACAGCAGACGCACUCCCAGGCGAGCUGGCUAUAUUUCUUCAGGAUUGCCCAUUCUGGGGGUUAAGACCAACAUAAAAAAAAGUGGGAAAAACGGGAACCUCUGAUGCCACUAGAUCAGUUUCCUCUGCCAGUACUCAUCUCCAUCACUGCCACAUCAGCUGGUCCCAAGGUUGUGAGGUCAUCCAAACAUCUGGCCCCUCCGCCAUGUUUCCUAAGCGUUAGAUAUCUCUCCCCGUUUAUCUCUGAAGUGGAUGGCCUUCUGCCAGUUCGGCCUGGCUCCGAGUGCUGCAGUGUCAACAGUGAAAAGUGAGGGCCAGAGGGGUGAUAUCAUGGAAAGUAUGGAAAUCAUAAAACCUGAAGAAAGAGAAUCGUCGGCGUGGGAUAGAUGGUUCCCUGUUAAAAGAUACUGCCCUGUAACUUUGAAAAACCUCAUCAUAAUACAAGACAAGGGGGAUGUUCUUGGCUCCAAGGCUCAAAGGCUGAUGGAACAAGGCCCAAUUUCUGAGGCUGCCAGGUACAUGACCAAGGAGGUGAGGAGACUUUGAAGAGCUCAUAGUUGAAGGGCAAACAGGAUCAUAGAGCAGUCUGUGAGCUGUGAUCAAAUACAUAUCUAGACAACACAGAUUAUGCAAAUGAGAUACAGAAAUAAUUGUGUUUUUUACACCACGUGUUCAGGUAAAAGAAAGUAGAUCUUUGAACUAACAUGAAAGGCUUUAUAUACCUGUUUGUGACAGAAGUCGACAGAGGCUGAGGUUUUCCUCUUAAUGCCAUGUAAAGCCUUCAGUCCUCUGUCCGGCCCUGUGGUGUGAUAUGAAGUGAAAGCCAAUGUGGGGUUUGGCACUGGACGGCCAUUUUGUGUCUGGUCUGAUGCAUGGUUUCACUGGGUGUCACUUUGGCUACAUAUCAGAAUCCUUGGUGGCGGCAGUGAGCGAAGCUGCAGGUAUCAUUAAACCAUUUUUACGGCAACAGUUGAGCAGAAAAAGACAGACAAUAUGACAAGU